GUUGACAAGACCAUCAAGAAAAAAAAAGGUUGGGGUUUCCCUAGUGGCUCAGUGGUAAAGUAGCCACCUGCCAAUGCAAGAGACAUGGCUUUGAUCCCCAAUCUGGGAGGAUGCUACAUGCUUUGGAGGAACUCAGCCCGUGCACCACAACGGUUCUCUAGAGCCCACAAGCCACAGCUGCUGAGCUUCGUGCCCUAGACCCCAUGCUCCGCAACAAGAGAAGCUGCUGUAAUGAGAAGCCCAAGCACCACACCAGAGAGUAGCUCCCUCUCACCGCAACUAGAGAAAAGCCCUCACAGCGACGAAGACCCAGUGCAGCCAAAAACAAAUGACCACACUGCAUGACAUAUACGAUCCUCGUUCCCCGACCAGGGACCAAACCC
ensembl:lncRNA